UACAGGUCCGUGUAAGAAUCAGGCAAAUCAAAUAAAAAGUGAUAAGUCCAUAUACACGGAAUAUGGUGAAAUUUUGGGAACUUUGUUAUCCAUUAAUAAAAGUGACAAAACCAUAGUAUUACAUCGAUGUAUGCCAUAUUUGUCUAGAAAAAAUAGAUUGAAUGCGUUCGCCGUCCGCAUAUACAACAGUGUAAUGCAUUGAAAGUAGGUCAACUUCGAUAUCGAUUUUCUGUUAACAGCAGAUGCCUAGCACACAUUUUUUUUUAUAUUUGAAAUCUUUUGAUACAUAUCUUCUCUUUCAAUGAAUAAAAAGUUUGGAAAUUUUUAUUUGAAAAAUGUUAUUCACUAAAGAAAAAUCAUCGAAACGCGUCAUUGACUGUAUUGUUUAUCUCCCUUGCUUGGUUACCUCUUUUUAAAAAAGGCGCGUAAUCUGCACAACAACAAUAACAAAUGGCAGACGAGAUGGUCCCGCCGGACAUGAAGGGCAGUAUAAGUCUGUUUUAACCCAUUCAUGUGGGGUUUAAUCCUGUAUGUAAUCAGGAUAAAAGUGUACGAAAGCUCGCUGAAUGAGUUAAGACAUAACGCCGCGGCAUUGACAGAUCUCAGACUGCGUGGAGGUUGCCAGACUACACGAACCAGCCGUGGACAAUGCCAAUGAACAUGAUGAAGGAGAGUUGAUAGCACUAAGAUGUGGUAUUUUCAGCAUAGAAUUUUCACCCAUGUUUUAGAAUCUGUGAUACAGAAUUGGUUUUGUGUGGCUUCACUUCUUCAGAAUUUUAUAAUGACUAAUGACAUGUACCACUGUGGACAUAUCUGGUUAUGCUUACAAGAAAUAAGUAAAAGAACAGGUUUUGCUGGAUGUCAAGUCUCUGAAUGUGCUAACUACACCUCAUAAAACAAACUGAUAACACACAAGUUUAAUGGAAUAAAGGAUUUUAAUGAGUUGUGAGUUGAAGAAGAUGGUAUACUACUGAGGAAAGCCUACAAUAUUGGCAAAGUAAAAUUUAUUCCUUAUAAAUCCAUAGACCAAAUGGAUUUUGGUAACCGACAGGAAAAUAAAACAGAAAAAUGUGUGUUUAUAUCAGGAUUUUACUUACCUGUUAAUGUAACUGGAAAAAUCAAAACACCUAAAACACGGUGCAGUUAAUCUCCAUGAAGGACCAGAAAUAAAAACAGAAAAUGGUGAAGACUCAACCAUAUUAUCCUCUCAUCACUCAGAAAGUUCUGAUUAAAUGCUGUUUUUUUUGCUCAAAAGUUGGCUGUGUCAUUAGAUUUGCUACCUUAAAUAGACUUGAAAACCAUCUAUUGAUAGCUAU